UACGAAGGGGGCUAGCGUUGCUCGGAAUCACUGGGCGUAAAGCGCACGUAGGCGGCUUUCUAAGUCAGGGGUGAAAUCCUGGAGCUCAACUCCAGAACUGCCUUUGAUACUGGAGAGCUUGAGUCCGGGAGAGGUGAGUGGAACUCCGAGUGUAGAGGUGAAAUUCGUAGAUAUUCGGAAGAACACCAGUGGCGAAGGCGGCUCACUGGCCCGAUACUGACGCUGAGGCACGAAAGCGUGGGGAGCGAACAGG
rnacentral:rRNA from 1 species